rnacentral:rRNA from 1 species
GACGAACGCUGGCGGCGUGCUUAACACAUGCAAGUCGAACGGAAAGGCCCUGCUUUUGUGGGGUGCUCGAGUGGCGAACGGGUGAGUAACACGUGAGUAACCUGCCCUUGACUUUGGGAUAACUUCAGGAAACUGGGGCUAAUACCGGAUAGGAGCUCCUGCUGCAUGGUGGGGGUUGGAAAGUUUCGGCGGUUGGGGAUGGACUCGCGGCUUAUCAGCUUGUUGGUGGGGUAGUGGCUUACCAAGGCUUUGACGGGUCGCCGGCAUGAGAGGGUGACCGGCCACAAUGGGACUGAGAUACGGCCCAGACUCCUACGGGAGGCAGCAGUGGGGAAUAUUGCACAGUGGGCGGAAGCCUGAUGCAGCAACGCCGCGUGCGGGAUGACGGCCUUCGGGUUGUAAACCGCUUUCGCCUGUGACGAAGCGUGAGUGACGGUAAUGGGUAAAGAAGCACCGGCUAACUACGUG